UGGGGAAUAUUGCACAAUGGGCGCAAGCCUGAUGCAGCCAUGCCGCGUGUAUGAAGAAGGCCUUCGGGUUGUAAAGUACUUUCAGCGGGGAGGAAGGGAGUAAAGUUAAUACCUUUGCUCAUUGACGUUACCCGCAGAAGAAGCACCGGCUAACUCCGUGUCAGCAGCCGCGGUAAUACGGAGGGUGCAAGCGUUAAUCGGAAUUACUGGGCGUAAAGCGCACGCAGGCGGUUUGUUAAGUCAGAUGUGAAAUCCCCGGGCUCAACCUGGGAACUGCAUCUGAUACUGGCAAGCUUGAGUCUCGUAGAGGGGGGUAGAAUUCCAGGUGUAGCGGUGAAAUGCGUAGAGAUCUGGCGGAAUACCGGUAGCGAAGGCGGCCCCCUGGACGAAGACUGACGCUCAGGUGCGAAAGCGUGGGGAGCAAACAGG
rnacentral:rRNA from 1 species